AAUCGUAGUUUACGAUAUUAUGCAGAAUCCCUCUGCGUAGACCUAGAACGUCAUAUUUAAGGAGAAAACAAAUG
rnacentral:ncRNA from 1 species